rnacentral:lncRNA from 10 species
GCUUGGGCCUCCUGGGCUGGUUUCGCCAACUCAGCCUGGCGGGCUGCACUGGGCUUUUGCUACUGGCCCAGAUCCCACACCUGCCAAGGGAGAGCCAGGCGCAGGCGGAGAGAGGUGCAUGCGCGAGCGAGCACAGCGUCUGGUCACUACGCACAGCCAGGCAGACUGGCUCCUGCGGGGUGGACAGCUCCAGGUACUGGGGCGGGCUCUAGCUCCCUGCAAGUCUGUGGCUGGACCAGGCAUACCGGAAGUGGCUUCCACUGCAGGCACUGGGAAAUGCGGUGGUGCCUUACACCCCUGGCUCAGGGGACUCCCAGGUCUGGGCUCCUUGAAGGGCUUCUCUCCAUAACUCCUCUCUUUCUCGUGCUCACAACAUGAGGAGCAGCAGGGACGGAGGGCGGAGCACGUUUCGGCCCUGUUUGUGUUGCAGCUCUUUCAGUUCCGCAAAUGGCUGGUCCCUAGUUCUUGUCCCAUGUCCAGGAAGGAUGAGGUGAUGAAUAUGAGAGCCAGAGUAUGUAAGGGAUUACAGCAGAUCAUACAGCUUGGAGGAGAAGAGUAAAACAGAUGCAUUGAAUGAAGAUCUCACAGUGACAUGAAAAAGAGGCAAAGCUUUGUGUGCUGGAAAACUUAGAGGAUUCUCCUUCAUUGUGGAAGGUUUGGACUGGGCCUUAAAGAUUGAGGACCUAUUGGGAACCAUUAGACUUUGGCCAAUCACGAGACUAUAUGAACUGCAUAUAGUAAAAAUAUAUUGAUAGUAAUAUAGUUUGGUUUUUAUUUAAUAAACUAAGAAGAAAAGAUGAGUUUGGGGUCAAAGAGCAGAAGGGAGAAAGGAAGGGCAAAGGGAAGGGGAAAGAAUAGAGACAUAAGAGAAAAAUCAGUAAGCAGACUUGAGAAAGGUAAGACUGGAAUCUUUGUACAAUAGGUCUGUUUUUCUAGUGACUUUUUAAUUGUAAUAAUUUCCAUUUUUCUGAUUUCAAAAUAAGGUACAUAUGAUUAAAAAUGUAAAUUAUGUUUAAAGUAAAAUUAAGAUAUGAAUAAUAAAUUAAUACUAAUAAUGACUGCCUACAUCAUACAUUUGGACACAAAGUAUAGUCCAGGAGCACCUGGGAUUCCCAAAGAAACUUUCAGGCAGUCAGGUAGAAACCGCUUUCAUAAUAAUACUGAAACUAUAUUUGACUCUUUCACUCUCAUUCUUUCCUGUGCAUUCUAUUGCAGAGGCUAAAUGUACGCCAUUGUUCUGACAGAUCACUGAAAGUGUGUCUGUGUAUUCUUGUGUUUCAAAAGGUUCUGCUUAAAUUUAUAAUAUAAUAAAUAUAAGUAGUUAGGUUUGACAUAAAUAAAAGCUUUUGACAUUCUCAAUAAUUUUUAAGAGCCUACGACACAAAGUUUGAUAACCAGUGACUAAGAAUUUCUUAUAUUCAGAUCCAAUUCUUUCUAGUCUUCUAGUGUGUGUACGGGUGUCAUUCAAAAAUAGUGACUUUAAAAAUAUAUGUCAUUUAAAAUAUAUAUAUACUUAUAGAAUAAGUGUAAAUAUAUGGGUGUAUAUAUAUUUGUGGUAUUUUAAACCUAUUUAAUUUAAAUUUGUAUUAUAGGUAAUCAUCUUUAAACUUUAUAUAUGUGUACUUUUUACUAAUUAUUUAAUAGAUAAAUGGAUGUAGCAUCUGUUAAUAAUCUUAUUUGGAUAUACUGUACAGAUAUUUGUUGUUGUUGUAAAAAAGAUAUAUUGGACAUCUACUUGUGUUACUUAUGUAAAAAUAUGUAUUCAUAGAAAUUCUUCUAUACAUUUGUACAUAUUUAGAAUAUUUGCAUUAUUUGUACUAAUGCAAUAUUUUUCUUUAUAGACAGAUGUGUACUCCUUAUAUAAUCUGUUUAAGUUCUUUGCCUAUUUUGAAGAAUUUAACAAUUAUUUUUCACAUAUAGGCACUCUUUGUAUAUUACAGGUAAAACAUCACUGUAUAUUACAUUUUCCACAAAGAUAUUCUCAUUUUUAUUUGUUUUUUAUACAUUUUGUUUUAAUAUUUAACCAUAUUUUUAUGGCAAGACAUUUUAUCAUUUCCGUACUGCCACAGUAAUGUUCCUUAACAGUAAUAAUGUUGGAUUCAUCAACCACAAAUCCCAAUUUUAUGCUACUAGGAGCAUUCAUUUCACAGUUGUACAUCUAUGGGCAAGUUGGGGUUCAAACAAGGACUAGACUAAGUAGAGUUUGGAUCCAACUGAAAAAAAGGAUAAAGGUCUUCUUCAUGAGUCCUGAUCCUCCUAGAACUAGUGACUAGGCACCUUCUUUACCAACCAAAAGGGAGGACCACACGGAGAAAAGCAUCCCCACACAAGCACUUUUCCAGCCUUUUGUUCUGGCUUGCCUUUUCCCAACUGAUGUUUAAAUGGACUCAAAUAAUACAUCAGCUUUGGUUCUGGCUUCUUUCGUUUAGCAAAGUAUAUUUAAGAUUUAUCUUUGUCAUGGUAUGAAUUAAUGGCUUAUUCCUUUUAUUUCUGAGUAGUACACCAUUGUAUUGAUAUUUCUUUAUCCAUUCACCUAUUGAAGGUCAUCCUCAUUUACAUAAUAAGUUUAAUUAUUAACAGUUUAUGAAGUAUCAUUAAUAUAUUUCCAUGUUAGUAGAUGUUAUUCUAUAACAUUUUUAAAGGCUGCGAAGUACCCGAUUGAAACCCAUUUUCUGAAUAUACUAUAAUUUAUUUAAAUAAUUAUUUUAGUUGCUGAUAAUACAUUACAGGGAAAAAAAAACAACUAUGAAACAAAACCUUGGCUAUCUCUAUGACUCUAUGCUUACUCAAAUAUUCUAGAAGUAAACUUGUAGAGUUGAAAAUAUGUGAAUUUUAGAGCAUUUGGACUCAAAAUUGUAUGUAUUAUUUCUUUUCUGCAAAUCAGUAAUUUCACACUUAGUUUUUGAGAAAAACAUAUUAGGUUUAAGGCAAUGACAGAGAAACAUAAGAUAGAGCAGGAAGAAGAAAUCGUGCUUCUGAAAUUUUACAUGGGACCAAACUGUGUGACUAGAAUUAAUGCCAAACUAAUACAUUAGACCAAUUACAGCAAACAUCUGAUCCAUAAGGAUAACAUUAUUCAUAUUUCUUAGGACUAAUUCCAUGUAGGUAAAGCUGUACUUUGUCACAUAUUCUUAUAAGAACACUUCCUAUCAGCCUACCCCUUACCAAAACCUGCAGGUAGAAUCUUCUGUAAUGUAGUAUUUCAAUCAGUACAAAUAUAGGCUAUGUGUCAAUUCAGUGAAAACAUCAAUCAAAUUAAUACUUUGAAUAAAAAUUAAAAAGUGACUAGUUUCCUGGAUUAUAUUUUUUCAAAGAUUUAUUGCUUGUCCUAGAUAUUAUCUGAAUGUACUUAUGUUCUGUUUCCUGCCCAAUGAAUCAGCUGAAGUCCACAGUUGAAUUCAUACAUUCAUACCAAUAUAUUUUUUUCCCCUUUAGCACCUUGGAAAGUACGAAACCAAUAGAACAUUUUAUGACUACUUUCAACUCUCAUAUACGGCUCUGAGUCCAUGGUAAAGAAAAAUUAAUUUAUGAUUUUUUUUACUAGCUUGCACUUAAGUCAUAAAAACCUUGCAUUUUAAAGGGCUAUAUAAAGUUAAGUACUUUCUUGAACUUUACUCCUUAGCUCUUAAAUGUAUAUGUAUUUUUUUCUUUUGAACUAAGAGGUGGCAUAUUGUCAGGAGUAAAUAAAUACUGAAAUUUAUGAACAUAAGAAUUUCAUGUAUUUCAAUUUUCAGGGAAGCUUGACCUCGGCUAAAGCUCAUUGCCCAGCCCCAUUAUAAAAUUAUAUAUUUAAAUGUCGCUUCCAGAAUCUUCACUUCCUGCAGAUACAUUACCAAUGCAAGAACUAAGAACUGUUAUUUAUGAGGAAAACACUUGUUAAUUUUCUUUGAUUUCUUUGAUAAUGCUAUCGAUGUUUCUUCUUGGAUUAAUUCAACUAUACAUAAACUAAUUGCACUAUAUUUUAGUCCUUUCAAAUUUUAAACAUUUAUGAUUCUAUUUCACCAUUACUAUAUGAAAGGCACUACUCCAUCUAACCUACCUCAAUAAUGUGAGCUUAUUUUAAAGCUGUAAGAAUAGAAAUCAAUUUCCACAAUGUGAAAGUAAACGAAAUUGUCAUCUAAAAACUUUGAUAAUUUAAUUUCCAGAACAUAUUAAAACUUAGAAAAAUAUCAAGCCUUAUGAUUGAUGUCAAAAAAUCCAGCAUCUUAACAUGCCUUUUGGAUUUUAUGUGAUUUGUAUGAGUGGGUUUUAUUAUCAACAAGUUCCAUUGGAUAAUAAGAUUAUAAAUAUAUAUAACACUGAUUUUAACAAUGUUAAGGGUAAAUAAGUAAUACUUUAGGGAAAUUACAUUCACUCCAUUGAUAAAUACUUAAAUUAAUGGCAUAUAACCAUUGCCAUCUUCUUUUAAGCAUAAAGGAAUGGGCCAUAGAUGAAUGCACUGUUCUCUUAUUAAAAAUGCAUUAGACUACAAAGCCCAUCUCAUGAUGUAGGAAGAAUUAAGAAGUUUUCUAAUAUCAUUAGGCAGAACUAUACUUAAAUCACUACCAAGAAUUUUAAUAUUCUUUGUACUGUGAAACCACAUAUAUUAAAUUACUAUUACUUGUUUUUUGUGAAUAUUAACAUCCUUCAUAACACUACUACCACUAAUAAACACUACUACUGAAUAAAAUGAUGCAGAAGAAGCAAUAUGAAUAAAUUUUUAAAGUUGAACUUUUAGCACACAUAGUAAUAUAUUUUUGAACAUUACCAAGAAUUAUAUAUAUAAUACACAUAUAAACAUUUUGUGUGUAAACUUUUAUAUUAAUUAUAGUUUGCAUGUAUCCUUUAGCACUUGCUUAAUUUGCUAAAUAUUAUUUUGUUUAAUUAAUGAUUUGUUAAUUAAUGAUUAGAUUACCCUUUAAUCAUUUCAACUCAAAGUAUUCCAUAUAUUGGAUAAUCCAGAUACUGAAUGUGUCUUCUUGUGCAAAUGAAUAAUAAAAGUUUCUCUCGU